rnacentral:tRNA from 1 species
CACAUUUAGGUGUAAAAAGCACAAUAAUUUUUGAUAUUCUUGGGAUUAGUUUGAUUCUAUUAAAUGUAA